rnacentral:tRNA from 1 species
GGAGAAAUACUCAAGAGGCCGAAGAGGCCCCCCUGCUAAGGGGGUAGGUCGGGUAAUACCGGCGCGAGGGUUCAAAUCCCUCUUUCUCCGC